rfam:Prunus persica cultivar Lovell chromosome G3, whole genome shotgun sequence.
AAACCAUGAUGAGGGCAUUGAAGAAACAAAUCCUUAUAUCUCUCCCAACAUUCAUGAAAUUGUUCACGCUCUUGUUGAUGAAAACUCAUAAUAUUUGCUAUCAAAGUAU